rnacentral:lncRNA from 1 species
AUGCGGCAGCCAUCGGCCCAGAUUCCGGCUGGGGCCUGUCUUUGGGGGAAAGCGCUAGCAUCCCAGAGUACGCGAAUCCAGAGCCGGUCCGCGGGCCAGAGGCUGAGGCUGGACUGCCUGCUGAUUUCCAGUGUUCACCCGGACUGGCCGCGAAGAGCAGGGUUCCCGUGUCCACCCCGCGCAAAGCUCUGGACUCGGAGCUCAAGGAGCCUUCGCUGCAGACCGCUUACCCAAGGCGGGACGGGGGGCGCGCGCGCAGCCCAGCGCGAGCUUUCAGGGCCGAGGCGCGCGCAGGCGCGGCCGGUGUCGCCUAGCAACCAAGAGCAACAGUGGCCUCGGAGGCGCGCGCGGACGGCGGCGGGUGCGGUUCUCCGGGCGCGAGGGGCCGCCGCUCGGCGGGAUCCGCCGGCAGUUACUCAAAGCCACUGUCCUGAAAUGGGAAAAAAAUCAGUUCCUGAGUGAAAAUCAGAUGAUGUACAGUAAUUUUUUUUUUUUAAUUUUUUUUCAAUGUUUAUUUAUUUUUGGGACAGAGAGAGACAGAGCAUGAACGGGGGAGGGGCAGAGAGAGAGGGAGACACAGAAUCGGAAACAGGCUCCAGGCUCUGAGCCAUCAGCCCAGAGCCCGACGCGGGGCUCGAACUCACGGACCGCAAGACCGUGACCUGGCUGAAGUCGGACGCUUAACCGACUGCGCCACCCAGGCGCCCCGAUGUACAGUAAUUUAAUGCAAGUAUAAUUCAGUUCUUCUUAAACAUUAUUCAUAAGGAGUUCUUCUGUAAAUCAAAGGCUGCUCUACCUUGGAGUCGAUUACGAAGCACUCUAAAAUUUCUUUUUCCUAGAGAUUAAUCGCAAGAUUUGCAUUUGUCCAGAAUGGUUUCUGUCCAUCUGCCUGGAAUAUCAUAAACCCAAAAUCUAGGGUCUGUGUGCUUUUCAAACACCUAUGAAAGAUGUUUGAGUUUUGAAAAAAGUAUUGCCUCUAAAAUCUGAAAAGAAACUUGAAAAAUUAAUGGAAAUGUUUUAAUAUUAAAUUAUAUUUGAGAACAGUUUUCUCAUUUUGCAAGAAGUUUGAGGCAUACAACCUGCUGAAUAAUUUCAAAUGCUUGAUUUCAAAACUUUAUGUGAUGAAAAUCGUAUUUAAUGGGGAAUGUGGGUACAUUUUAAUGUUUUAAUAUACUGGAUGUGAGGGAGGGCAUCACAGUGUCAGCUUGCCCGGACCCUCAAAGAUCUUGAAAUUUUUGUGACCUGAACUGAGGGAUCUGGAUGUCUUUCAGAAGCCCCUAGGAGCUUCUAUGAACAUGUGGCGUUUUAAAACAUGUGAUAAAUUCUGGUUAGUGCCUCUAGUGCUAAGAGUUGCCUUUGUCCCUUGAGACACCAUCUGAACCAAUCCUGACAUUGUAGAUUCUCACCAAAGAUUUUUGACUUCCCAGAAUUUUCUGGAAACUGUACUAAUUUCCCCGAGACAGGUUUGUAGCAUCUGAGAUUGCCCAAAUGCCAAACAUAACCUCCCAUUGGAGAAAACUCGAAAGGUUUCUAGAGUUGUUUAUUCUAACCGUCCCCAACAUCUUGGAAAGUCCUCUGUACCCAGAUGGGGUUACUGCUCUGUGGUUUAUCAGCUGUCAGUACCAAUCCUUUGACUUUUUGUCUGCACAGUUAUGGACCUACGAGGGCAGGUAGAAACAGGUCUUGUAAGCAGUAACCCCAACUUCUCCAGAAUACAUCUCUUCAGAUUCUCAAUUACUUUUUUUUUUUUUUUUAUUGAGCUAUGGAUUAUAUUAGAGAGAACUUCUGGUUAUCUGGGAAAAUGACACCAACGUUCAUUUGGAGUUGCCUUGUUUUGGGUAUCAGUCACAAAGUCAUACUCCCAGGAAAAACAGAGUUCAUGAUUUUUAUGCAUAUCGAAUAGCUACCAUGUACCAGAUACUGUUGGGAUAGAUCAGUGCAGGAAAGCAGACAAAAAUCCACCCCUUUGUGGCAGAACAUUCUUGGAGCUCUCAAAAGUAAAUUGGAUUUAGUCUCCUAGGCACCCCAUCAGUGAGCUAUAUGCAUGAUAGACUGUUUCCCGUUAUGUAAGUGAAAGUUAUGCCAUGGAUGUGUUCUCUUCCUUAAAAGCUGGAAGCCAGGACUGAUGCCCAACAAUCUUAACAGUAAGUUCCUUAAAAACUGUGGCGUUUGAAAUAAGACUGCAGGUAACAUAUUUGUACAUGUACCACCAUUUCUACCUAUAUCACAUCAUCUCUUUUUUAGGUAAAAUUUAUUAUUUUUUUUUUAAUUUAUUUUUUUUUCAACGUUUAUUUAUUUUUGGGACAGAGAGAGACAGAGCAUGAAUGGGGGAGGGGCAUAGAGAGAGGGAGACACAGAAUCGGAAGCAGGCUCCAGGCUCUGAGCCAUCAGCCCAGAGCCUGACGCGGGGCUCGAACUCACGGACCGUGAGAUCGUGACCUGGCUGAAGUCGGACGCUUAACCGACUGCGCCACCCAGGCGCCCCAUGGUAAAAUUUAAAUGAGGAAAUAAAUCUCCUUCGAAGGGCA